UACGUAGGGUGCAAGCGUUGUCCGGAAUUAUUGGGCGUAAAGAGCUCGUAGGCGGUUUGUCGCGUCUGCUGUGAAAACUCAGGGCUUAACCCUGAGCCUGCAGUGGGUACGGGCAGACUAGAGUGUGGUAGGGGAGAUCGGAAUUCCUGGUGUAGCGGUGGAAUGCGCAGAUAUCAGGAGGAACACCGGUGGCGAAGGCGGACCUCUGGGCCAUAACUGACGCUGAGGAGCGAAAGCAUGGGGAGCGAACAGG
rnacentral:rRNA from 1 species